AAGUCGUAACAAGGUAACCGUAGGUGAACCUGCGGUUGGAUCAUUAAAAGUAGUAACAAUGUUACACCAACCCUAAAAGAAAUGUUGUUUUGGAUAAAGUAUCCCAUUGCAUCCAAAAAUCACAAGCAAUUCAAUUUAAUUUAAUUUUUUUUAUUUGAAAAAACUUUUGACAAUGGAUCUCUUGGUUCUC
rnacentral:misc_RNA from 1 species